AAAAAGACAAACACACUAGUUUCCGUGUCCAACGUUUGAUCGUCCGUCUUAUUUGAAAAAAAUAUGAAAAAAAUUAAAAAGAUAAGUCACGCAUAAAAUAUUAAUCAUGUUUUAUCAUCUAACAACGAUAAAAAUACUAAUUAUAAGAAAAAUUCAUAUAAGACGGCCAGGCAAACGAUGGCACGGGAAUCCACCGUUUGCCUUUUU
rfam:Oryza sativa Japonica Group DNA, chromosome 1, cultivar: Nipponbare, complete sequence.